rnacentral:lncRNA from 1 species
GGGGAUGCUCUCUGGAACUCGGUCAUCCGUCCUUCUCUAGCACACGGGUGUGCCGUAUGGCUACCUUCAUCCGCUUCUAGUCAACAUAUACUUGAAACAUGGCAAUAUAAAACCGCAAAACUGAUUUUUAAUACUGAGAUGAAUAUUCCUAAAGCUGCUUUAUUCCUAGAUUUGGGAUGGGAGCCAAUAAACGAUUUUCUUGAUAGACAAAGGGUGUCUU